rnacentral:lncRNA from 1 species
UAAAAGAUCCUUUUUCUUCAUCAACAUUCGUAUGAGAACAUCAGGAAAGUGCUUUUGAUUUUCUCUUGGCAAGACAUUUUCCUAGAGAAGUAGUCCACAGUCCCAACCAUUAGCCCCAACUCUGAGGGACAGGAAGUCCCCAUCCAUGGCCAGGCAGACCCGGGUCCAAGCUCUCAGCAUGGUCCCUUUUCUGAGCCAGGUCAAGUCCUUCCACCCGACUGGUCCUCAAAUCCUCUACCUGCUAGAUGGGCCAUUGUGUGCCCAGCCUCCCUGGACGUUACAAGAGCAGUGGUGAGGAAAGCUAGCUCCCUGGCCCCCAGGCCGAGAGGAAAAGAAUCCUGGAUUAAGCCAGAGGCUGAGUUCUCUGGAGGUCUGGGGCACUGACGGGUUACUGGGUAGAGGGCCAGCUUAGGGGAGGGUGUGGUCUGAAGGUAUGGGUAGGGCAAGACCUGACUCCACUCAGUGAUGUGUCCCCAGUGAGGCAUCCUCCCUAGAACCUGUAAGUAACAGGAAGACCCUACCCUGAACAGAGCUCUAGGGAUGAGGGGAGGGUUUGAACCCCUGCUCGCAGGCCGAGGCCACCCCAGUGAAAGCUUGGCUGGACAAUAUCGC